AUGUACCAGGCGAUCCCCUACGGCGUCGGCCGGCUGCCGCGUGCCCGCGGCGGUCCGAGCAGGCCGAGGCCGAGAGCGCGGCCAGCCAGGAGGGCGGGCUCGCGGCUCGCCGGCGCGGCGGCAAGGGGCGACGGCGGGGAGGCGGUGAGGAGGGCGGUGGCAGAGAGCCUGGUGCUAGUGGUGGGGAGGCGCGGGUGCUGCCUCAGCCACGUGGUGAAGCGGCUGCUGUAGGGGCUUGGGGUGAACCCUGCCGUGCACGAGGUCGCCGACGAGGACGAGCUCACCGCGGCGGUGGCCGGGAACGCUGGAGGCGAGGCUGUCAUCACGCUGCCGGCGGUGUUCGUCGGUGGGAGGCUCCUCGGCGGGCUCGAUCGGCUCAUGGCCGUGCACAUCUCCGGCGAGCUCGUGCCCAUACUCAAGGACGCCGGCGCGCUCUGGCUCUGA
rnacentral:rRNA from 1 species